rnacentral:rRNA from 1 species
UACGUAGGCAGCAAGCGUUGUUCGGAGUUACUGGGCGUAAAGCGUGCGCAGGCGGUUUUGUAAGCCAGAUGUGAAAUCCCCGGGCUUAACCUGGGAAUGGCAUUUGGGACUGCACGGCUAGAGUGUGUCAGAGGGGGGUAGAAUUCCACGUGUAGCAGUGAAAUGCGUAGAGAUGUGGAGGAAUACCGAUGGCGAAGGCAGCCCCCUGGGAUAACACUGACGCUCAUGCACGAAAGCGUGGGGAGCAAACAGG